UACGAAGGGGGCUAGCGUUGCUCGGAAUCACUGGGCGUAAAGGGCGCGUAGGCGGCCCGGAUAGUCAGGCGUGAAAUUCCUGGGCUCAACCCGGGGGCUGCGCUUGAUACGUCCGGGCUGGAGUGCAGGAGAGGGUCGCGGAAUUCCCAGUGUAGAGGUGAAAUUCGUAGAUAUUGGGAAGAACACCGGUGGCGAAGGCGGCGACCUGGUCCUUGACUGACGAUGAGGCGCGAAAGCGUGGGGAGCAAACAGG
rnacentral:rRNA from 1 species